rnacentral:tRNA from 1 species
GAACCUUUGGCUCAAUGGUAGAGCGUUUGACUCACAUUCCAAAGGUCGCGGGUUCGAAACCCAGGUGUUCA